CAGAGGGGGAUAACGUUUGGAAACGAACGCUAAUACCGCAUGAUAUUAUUGGGCAGCAUUGCCUGAUAAUCAAAGGAGCAAUCCGCUGAAAGAUGGGCUCGCGUCCGAUUAGGUAGUUGGCGGGGUAACGGCCCACCAAGCCGACGAUCGGUAGCCGGACUGAGAGGUUGAACGGCCACAUUGGGACUGAGACACGGCCCAGACUCCUACGGGAGGCAGCAGUGAGGGAUAUUGGUCAAUGGGGGAAACCCUGAACCAGCAACGCCGCGUGAGGGAAGACGGUUUUCGGAUUGUAAACCUCUGUCCUCUGUGAAGAUGAUGACGGUAGCAGAGGAGGAAGCUCCGGCUAACUACGUGCCAGCAGCCGCGGUAAUACGUAGGGAGCAAGCGUUGUCCGGAUUUACUGGGUGUAAAGGGUGCGUAGGCGGCUUUGCAAGUCAGAAGUGGAAUCUAUGGGCUUAACCCAUAAACUGCUUUUGAAACUGCAGGGCUUGAGUGAAGUAGAGGUAGGCGGAAUUCCCGGUGCAGCGGUGAAAUGCGUAGAGAUCGGGAGGAACACCAGUGGCGAAGGCGGCCUACUGGGCUUUAACUGACGCUGAGGCACGAAAGCGUGGGUAGCAAACAGGAUUAGAUACCCUGGUAGUCCACGCUGUAAACGAUGAUUACUAGGUGUGGGUGGACUGACCCCAUCCGUGCCGGAGU
rnacentral:rRNA from 1 species